UCUCAGGCGGACUAAUAAGCAACUAAGCAACUCAUAACUAAGUUUGAACUCCGUCCAGACAUGUGGAAAGCUAGACUAUUUCACCUCCAGGAUUCAAGGCCCAAACAAGUUUCUUUGCUUUCUAUGGUGCAUAAAGGCAUUCUGUGACAACAAUUUUGAAAGCUUGUUGGCACCUUCAUUUGGAAAGCACUGCAGCAGAUCCUUAGAAAGAUGCAUACCUUUUCUGUGCCCUCUGGAAGGAGUACUGUGACAUGGAGGAAGAACCAGCAUGGAUGUAGAGAGAGUAUCUGUGGAGCGAUGCCCUUAAUGAUCCACUUCAGAAGAAGUGUAGGGAGUCAUAUCUAUGGUCUGCUUCUGAGGAAAGAGUCAAAGAGGCUUUCUUGCUGUGACUACUUCCCCAGUCACUAAGAUACAAGCAAAAGUUUCUUUUGACCUUCUUGUUCUAUGCUGCGAAGUAACAUCUAUUUUGGAGUCUUAUCAAACUUUGGGCAAUAGAAAGGAUAAGAAAAGAAAGCAAACCAAGUCUCCUUAGGAACAUGCUAAAGUAACAGUUUCAAGAUUAAUAGUACCCAAGUGGAGCAUCUUUCCUGCUUUCCUGGCUAUGUAUGAUACUCUGCUUGUUUCUGCUUUUGUUUGUUUUUACAUUUUAAAUAGUAACAAUUCUUCCUCACUGGGUGUUUCUGUGACUAAUCAGGACACAAAUAAACUGCUUAUAGCAAUGUCAGUUCCUACAUGUACAUCUGAUAGCAUUAAUUUCCUGCUUCAAAUCAUCAUGGCUACCAUUCAGCAUGGAAUAAAGUCAACCUCCUUAGUAGGAUCAGCAAGUCUUUUCAGAUGUUCAUGUAGAAUUACAAGAAGGAGUUAGCAGAGUUGAGAGCUGAGGCAGCCAUGACAGUGAAGAAGCUGUUACUGAGGUAAGAGGUGGUGGGGUCAAGGCCAGCAUGACGGCACAGGAGUUGGAGAGAAAUCCGCAGUGACUGCUGGCAGGAAGACCCCGGACUCCUUGGAGGACAGACAUGCUGGUGAUAGGCAGAUGACGAUAUGAGUGAAUGGAAGAAGAAAAGAUGUCUCAAAUUUGUUCUUUUGGCAAAUAAAUAAGGGAUGGUCGCUUAAAUUGUUGUGGGAAAUAUACAAAAAAAAGCACUUUUGGAAAGAAAAAUGAGGUCAUGAGUUUGAUCCCUGGUACCAGUAAAAAAAAAAAAAAAAAAAAAAGGAAAGAAAAA